rnacentral:misc_RNA from 1 species
AACGCACAUUGCGCCCUUUGGUAUUCCUUAGGGCAUGCCUGUUCGAGCGUCAUCUCACCCCUCAAGCUCUGCUUGGUGUUGGGCGUCUGUCCCGCCUCCGGCGCGGACUCGCCUUAAAAUCAUUGGCGGCCUGUGUAUUUGGGCUACGAGCGCAGCAGAUUCGCGCCUCUACUCCCGUCAUCGGCGUCCAUUAAGCGACAACCAUAGUUUUGACCUCGGAUCAGGUAGGGAUACCCGCUGAACUUAA